GACGAACGCUGGCGGCGUGCUUAACACAUGCAAGUCGAACGGAAAGGCCCUGCUUUUGUGGGGUUCUCGAUUGGCGAACGGGUGAGGAACACGUGAGUAACCGGCCCUUGACUUUGGGAUAACUUCAGGAAACUAGGGUUAAUACCGGAUAGGAUCUCCUGCUGCAUGGUGGGGGUUGGAAAGUUUCGGCGGUUGGGGAUGGACUCGCGGCUUAUCAGCUUGUUGGUGGGGUAGUGGCUUACCAAGGCUUUGACGGGUAGCCGGCCUGGGAGGGUGACCGGCCACAUUGGGCCUGAGAUACGGACCAGACUCCUACGGGAGGCAGCAGUGGGGAAUAUUGCACAAUGGGCGGAAGCCUGAUGAAGCAACGCCGCGUGCGGGAUGACGGCCUUCGGGUUGUAAAACGCUUUCGCCUGUGACGAAGCGUGAGUGACGGUAAUGGGUAAAGAAGCACCGGCUAACUACGUG
rnacentral:rRNA from 1 species